UUGUGCCAGCAGCCGCGGUAAUUCCAGCUCCAAUAGCGUAUAUUAAAGUUGUUGUGGUUAAAAAGCUCGUAGUUGAACCUUGGGCCUGGCUGGCCGGUCCGCCUCACCGCGUGCACUGGUCCGGCCGGGCCUUUCCCUCUGUGGAACCCCAUACCCUUCACUGGGCGUGGCGGGGAAACAGGACAUUUACUUUGAAAAAAUUAGAGUGCUCCAGGCAGGCCUAUGCUCGAAUACAUUAGCAUGGAAUAAUAAAAUAGGACGCGCGGUUCUAUUUUGUUGGUUUAUAGGACCGCCGUAAUGGUUAAUAGGGACAGUCGGGGGCAUCAGUAUUCAACUGUCAGAGGUGAAAUUCUUGGAUCAGUUGAAGACUAACUACUGCGAAAGCAUUUGCCAAGGAUGUUUUCAUUAAUCAGGAACGAAAGUUAGGGGAUCGAAGACGAUCAGAUACCGUCGUAGUCUUAACCAUAAACUAUGCCGACUAGGGAUCGGACGGUGUUAUUCAUGACCCGUUCGGCACCUUACGAGAAAUCAAAGUGCUUGGGCUCCAGGGGGAGUAUGGUCGCAAGGCUGAAACUUAAAAGAAAUUGACGGAAGGGCACCACCAGGGGUGGAGCCUGCGGCUUUAAUUUUGACUCAACACGGGGAAACUCACCAGGUCCAGACCACAAUAAGGAUUGACAGAUUGAGAGCUCUUUCUUGAUUUUGUGGGGUGGUGGUGGCAUGCCGGUUCUUAGUUGGUGGGGUGACUUGGUCUGCUUAAUUUGCGAUAACGAACGAGACCUUAACCCUGCUAAAUAGGCCGG
rnacentral:rRNA from 1 species